rnacentral:rRNA from 1 species
UACGAAGGGGGCUAGCGUUGUUCGGAAUUACUGGGCGUAAAGCGCGCGCAGGCGGUCUUCCAAGUCAGUGGUGAAAGCCCGGAGCUCAACUUCGGAACUGCCAUUGAAACUGUUAGACUUGAGGACGAGAGAGGUGAGUGGAAUUCCCAGUGUAGAGGUGAAAUUCGUAGAUAUUGGGAAGAACACCGGUGGCGAAGGCGGCUCACUGGCUCGUAUCUGACGCUCAGGCGCGACAGCGUGGGGAUCAAACAGG